rnacentral:rRNA from 1 species
GUCCACGCCGUAAACGAUGAGCACUAGGUGUCGGGGUCGCAAGACUUCGGUGCCGUAGUUAACGCAUUAAGUGCUCCGCCUGGGGGAGUACGUUCGCAAGAAUGAAACUCAAAGGAAUUGACGGGGACCCGCACAAGCAGCGGAGCAUGUGGUUUAAUUCGAAGCAACGCGAAGAACCUUACCAGGACUUGACAUCCUUCUGACAGGACCUUAACCGGUCCCUCCUUCGGGCAGAAGAGACAGGUGGUGCAUGGUUGUCGU